GCUUGUCUCAAAGAUUAAGCCAUGCAUGUCUAAGUAUAAAUCUUUUACUUUGAAACUGCGAACGGCUCAUUAUAUCAGUUAUAGUUUAUUUGAUAGUCCCUUACUACUUGGAUAACCGUAGUAAUUCUAGAGCUAAUACAUGCGUCAAUACCCUUCUGGGGUAGUAUUUAUUAGAUUGAAACCAAUGCGGGUUCUGCCCGGUUUUGUGUUGAAUCAUAGUAACUUUUCGAAUCGCAUGGCUUCACGCCGGCGAUAGUUCAUUCAAAUUUCUGCCCUAUCAGCUUUCGACGGUAGUGUAGUGGACUACCGUGGCGUUAACGGGUAACGGAGAAUUAGGGUUCGAUUCCGGAGAGGGAGCCUGAGAAACGGCUACCACAUCUAAGGAAGGCAGCAGG
rnacentral:rRNA from 1 species